GAUGAACGCUGGCUACAGGCUUAACACAUGCAAGUCGAGGGGAAACGACGGGGAAGCUUGCUUCCCCGGGCGUCGACCGGCGCACGGGUGAGUAACGCGUAUCCAACCUGCCUCUGACUGAGGGAUAACCCGUCGAAAGUCGGCCUAAUACCUCAUGGCAUCGUCUGCGGGCAUCCAACGACGAUUAAAGAUUUCAUCGGUCAGGGAUGGGGAUGCGUCUGAUUAGCUUGUUGGCGGGGUAACGGCCCACCAAGGCUACGAUCAGUAGGGGUUCUGAGAGGAAGGUCCCCCACAUUGGAACUGCGACACGGUCCAAACUCCUACGGGAGGCAGCAGUGCGGAAUAUUGGUCAAUGGGCGGGAGCCUGAACCAGCCAAGUAGCGUGCAGGAUGACGGCCCUAUGGGUUGUAAACUGCUUUUAUGCGGGGAUAAAGUGAGGGACGUGUCCUUCAUUGCAGGUACCGCAUGAAUAAGGACCGGCUAAUUCCGUG
rnacentral:rRNA from 1 species